CCUGUCUUUGUCCUCUGCAUUAACGGCAGGUCUCAAAGAUUAGCUAAUCAUUAUAAUGAUAGCCUUAUUAAGUACAAUUACAGAGGCGGAACAGUAGUUAAUGUAUAUUGGCUCACAGUGGGGCCAGGAAGGCUGAGACUCCUGUAAAAAAGCCACUCAUGCAGACACAUUCAAAAAAGAGUGACACUUUAGCUGAUGAUGUCACCAAGGCAAACAAUACAGCGGGAUGAAAUGAAGCUUGUGUUCCAGACAAUGUUGGCCUGUAUCCAUGGCAAAUCACAAGUGGCUUUAACUUUCCCAGACGUGAACAGCAAAGCUGGAAGUCACACAAGCUUACUGACAUCCAGACACAAGACAAAUGAACAGAUGAAUAAAUAAACAUAUGAAGCAAGUGGGAUUAAACACUAAAGUCUACAUUUUUUUUGGAUGGACAGAUCACAGACGUACAGACAUGCAUGGCUGAAACAAAAUACAAAGAGACUCAAUAAAAUGAGCUUGGAUCCUCAUCAACAGCCGGAAUACUUUACAGAGGCCUUCUGCCCAAACUCCCUCCCUCCUCUUCCCAGCUCUCCUCUCUUCCCCUCCCUCUCUUCCUGCUCUUAUCCCCUCAGAGAUAGUGAGAGCCGUCAGAUGUGGUUUGUCCUGACGGCUGACGGAUCGGCCAAAGACACUCGUCUCUGGGCACUCCUCUAUAUAUUGUUAAUUUAAUGCAUGAUGACGUGGCCAAUUAUGGAGUGGCCGCACGCUCAAAUAGCAUGUCAAAACCUGUGUAUCAAUCUAUUAGAUCCUGUCUCCUCAUGGCAUUAGCAGGCACCUUAAAGCAGCUCUGGGGUUCACCGAGGGAGAGAAAGUGCUUAGCUCAUGGGGAUCCUGCCUCAGAUCUCAUCCAGGCCUUUUAGAGAAUAAAAAAAUACAUCCACUAACAAGAACGGCGUGCAGGGCUGUGGCAAGCAGAUGGGUCAUGUGACCUGGCAGAUGGCACAGAAGAGUGGCGCUUAUCUUACACAGGGUCACAGGGAGCCUAGAGUCUAUCCAAGGCCACAAGGCGUGGGACACCCUGGAUGGGGUGCCAACCCAAAGCACAAUCACACACAUUCACCUGCAAUGGACAAUUUGGAAAUGCCAGUCAGCCUACAGCACAUGUCUUUGAUCUGGGAGAGGAAACUGGAGUACCCAGAAGAAACCCUUGAAGCACAGGGACAACAUGCAAACUCUGCCCACACAGGGUGGAGCCGGGAUUCAAAUAUAUACAAAUAUGUAUGCUUUGAUGCAUAAGAAUUCCAGACAUUUUUCCUAUAACUUAAUUUGUUACCUAAGACCAUCCACUUAGCAAGGUUAUUGUACCUAUGCACUUAAAAUUAUUAUUUAUUAAAUGGUACUGAAUGGAACACUGUAUUUUCUACUUUUUCACUCCUUCUGUAAAAUAACUGUUUAUGGUAUGUCAUGAAAUAAGUUCCAUGAUUUGGACUAUGACUUAGUAACCAGCAAUGUUUAGCCAAAGAGCCCGUGUGCUAAGCUAGCUAGUUACAUAUUUCGAUUACAACAAUCGAUAUUUCGAUUGUUAUGAUAUGUUUUGACACAGCUGGCUAUUUAGACAUGGAAAUCCAACAAACUAGUUUGCUGGUAGUUACCUAGCUGGCUAAGUAACUUAGAUAUCGCUAAUGCUGACCAAAAUCUUUGACAUUAUGGUACGUUUUGUCAGGAGUUUAAGUUUCUACUCUUAUAUAGAGACUCUGAUGAAAUCUUAUUUGUGUCUACCUGUGACAAAUGCUGGCUAGUUUACCAGCAGUUAACUAGCUGGUUCAUUAUUUUGCACAGCAGGAAAACAAAAGGGCAUUUCCAAUUUGUACAUUCAUGUAUGUUUAAUGUAUAUUUGUAGAUUGCAAUGAGAGGGAAGAGUACAGAUAUGCUCCUCGACCAUUUUAAGUAAACAAUAGAUUAUAAUUUAUUUUAAUGGUUUAAAAUGACAUGUUGUGGGGUACUUUAAGGAUUUUCCUCCAGUACUUAUUAUAGCUUUUUGUUAGAGUUCACAUAGAAAAGGGGUUUAAAUCUUAAAGCAAAGAUAGCCUAACAAUGACUGAUUAUUGCACUAACAACCCACAGGCUCCAGGGGAUGUCUGUAAUGCGAUUUCACCACACUACCAUCUAUCCUGGCCAAUAGACAACUGACCCCACAUUGCCCUGGGGUCACACUGAGUUCAAGGGGUGGUUCAGCACAAGCCUUAGGUAACCAACACAUAUACACAUAACUUUCACUCCAAUUUUGGCUUACAUUUUCUCACUCACUCAAUCACACAUGUAAGGAUGUGUAAUGACUGCUUGUCUUUCACGCUCUCUAAAUUCCAUGCAUUGAAUGGUCUCUUUUCUUCAUUCAACUCAAAAGCUCCGGCAUGAAGUCCGUCAAGCAACUCGAGAAGCAUGUCGAAACGCUGGCCUGUUGAUCAAAGGCCGCUUCUCGUUCUCCUAUUCAUAUGUGACAGAGACUGAUGUGGUAAAUAACAAUAUUAAUUUAAUCCACUGAGGCACCAGACGUGCAUUAGCUACUCUUACGUAUAUGCGGAACAAAAGUGUCGGGACUGAUGGAUGGACAGCAAGCAUGGCAGGACGUAGCUGGCUCCAUGCAUGUGCACCCACUGAAACCAGAGACAAGUGAGGGAGAUGGAAGAGUGGAAAGUGUGUGUGUUAGAGAGAGAGAGAGAGAGAGAGAGAGAGAGUCAGUGAAAGGCAGUGCUUUAGAGGGAUAUAGUGUGUGUUGAAUAAUGAGCGCUGUGCUCCCAGAACAAUCACACUCUCCAUUUUGCACUGUGUUUUCACCUGAUGUAUUGUCUCUGUUGAGGGAGGCCAUGUAAUAAGACCAUUUGGGCCCCUCAUUUGUGCGCAUUAGAGGCAAAUAUCUUACAGUGCCCUUAAAAGUGCCUGGAGGCCUGGAGAAACAGUGAUCCGGACUCACAAUUGCAGCAGGUAACGUUAGGAGAAUGCCAAGCCCCUUUACUCACUAAGUAGUCUGUAAAGAAAAGCACUGCCAUGCCGCUAGUCAAGAGAAAGAAUUAUGCAACUACUGCAUUAGCAUUUAUAUUUCCCUUUAUUCAUUUGGCACACACAUUUAUCCAUAGUGACUCAAAUCCAAGCCUGUAGAUAGAACUGUCGAGAGUCAAAAGUCUUUUGUGGUCUUGCUAUCUGAAAUAUACAAACUUCCAAUCACUACAAUAUUACUUUUUUUAUUUAUUUAUUUAUUUUUUUUUAAAAAUCUACCCUUUCUGUCAUGUUUGUGUGAUACAAUGGACAAUAAAUACAGCUUAUAAAAAAAGAAUGGAAAACCUUUUGGUUACAAACUCACUUAUAAUGAAAGUUUUUAGAGCAGUCAACUGGUCAGAACGUGUUGAUUUAUUUUCUAUAAUAGCAGGCCCGACCGUUAAUAUUAAUUAAUAUUAAUUAAUGGUCUUUUCUUGAGUAUGUUCCACAACAUAAACUGUAACAAUAAAUGGACAAAAAAGAAUAUUGUUACAUUCCUUAAUAAAUAAAUAAAUAAACAUUAAUCAUUAAAUAAACAAUAAACAUUAAACAAUCAACUUCAAGGUAGGAAACAGAGCUCAGCUCGUGAUUGAUUUCUUUCCUAUAACAUUAUAUCCCAUCAUGUUUUAACUCCUUACAUAAUUUAUUCUUUAGUGAUAGUCAUUUUUCAGAUGGAGGAACUUGUGUUUGUUUUAUCGAUGUAAUAUGUUUCAGUAUGAUUGUGCUCUCAUACAAAAAAAAAAAAAGUUAAUGUAAGUAACCAUAAUUACUUUUUAUUGUACUUCUCCUGUGUUCAAAAGUUGGAUAAAACUCAUCAACAGCCUCAGUAAGUCAUUCACUCAUUUCUUUCUCACAAAGUGCUUUUCUAAGUACAAGAAAAUUUGUCCCAAUUCAUGUUUGCAGUACUCACCAGAGAUUAGCUUGAAAAGCACUGGAGUGUUCCUUUAACCACUGAGCCACCUCUGCACACAUUUAGCUUUAACCACUGAACUACCACUGCACACAAAAGACAUUAGAGUUGAUUAAGGUAAUUUUACAAAACAAUGAAUCUUUUCAGCAUUAAUCCAGUUGAUUGAGGAUAUGUGAGGAAAGUAUUUCUUUUUUACUAUUGGAACAAGCAUUUUUGUAUUGAAAACAAAAAGUCUACAUUUAUCUAUGCAAAUAAUUCUUUAUCUAUUUAAAUAUGCAUGCAUUUGCAUUUUUUUUUUUUUUUUUACUGUGAAAACACUUUUUAGAGGGAGG
ensembl:lncRNA